rnacentral:snRNA from 1 species
GUGCUCACUUCGGCAGCACAUAUGCUAAAAUUGGAACGAUACAGAGAAGAUUAGCAUGGCCCCUGUGCAAGGAUGACACGCAAAUUUGUGAAGCGUUCCAUAUUUGU